UGGGGAAUAUUGCACAAUGGGGGAAACCCUGAUGCAGCAACGCCGCGUGAGUGAAGAAGUAUUUCGGUAUGUAAAGCUCUAUCAGCAGGGAAGAAGAUGACGGUACCUGAUUAAGAAGCCCCGGCUAACUACGUGCC
rnacentral:rRNA from 1 species